CCACCACCACCUACCUGUUCACUUUCCAGGUGAGACACUCAGGCCCAGAGGGAUGAUUGCCUUGUGAUUCCAAGGGGCACUUGAGCCCUAAAAAUGUAUAUAUGUGUAUACAUACAAGCACACACACACACACACACACACACACACACACACAGGCUUCUCAGCCUAGGAAAUCUAUGUAAAGAUAAAUAUAGGUUAAAAUCAGGAAAGCUUCCUGGAGCUUGUCUUUUAAAAAUUAAGUUAAUUUUUAACUUAAUUUAGAAGGAGGAGUUCCCAUGUGGCUCAGCAGGUUAAGAACCUGACUAGUAUUCAUGAGGUUGCAGGUUGAAUCCCUGGCCUCGCUCACUGGGUUAAGGAUCUGGCGUUGCCACCUGCUGCAGCACAGCCUGCAGAUGUGGCUCCGAUCUGGUGUUGCUGUGGCUGUGGCGUAGGCCUGCAGCUGUAGAUCCAAUUCGACCCCUAGCCUGGGAACUUCCUUAUGCCACGGCCACAGGCCUAAAAAGAAAAAAAAAGAAAAGAAAAGAAACAGAAGGAAUAAGAGAAAGAAUUAGUUGAUGCUUCUCCAUUAGGAACAGUGACUGGAUGAGAAGAGAAAUAUUCUAUUUGCAUUAAGCACCCAAGUCUGAUUCUUAUUAGACCUGCUUUCUUACUUCUUUCAUUUUUCUGGCCAAUAGGCCUCGGCUUAUUUUCAUGGCCCCUUUACAGAUAAUAGGUAGGAUUUCUAUGGCUAAUGAACACAGUACUCUGUAUUUUCAUUCCUCACUUCUGGAAAAGUUGGUGGCCAGAGGGGGAAAAAAGCUAGAUUCUCUUAAAAGUCAUUUAUUCAAACACUUCUCUCAUUAUUUUCUUUUAAUAAGAAGUUUAAAAAUCUAUUAUUAUAGAGUAAUUGCUCAUCAAAUUUCUUUUUAAAAGUCAAAGCAAUUUUCAAAUUAUAAAGAACUUCUCCAAUGUGUCUAGAUAAUUAUGAGGGUGCAAUUUGUGUAGCUCCUGUACCUCCGUAGACUGCAAGGCCUGCGAAAGCUGUGCCAUUGGAGCCCAGGAUGGCAUUACCUGGGUUCACAUGAAAAGCAUCACAUGAUGCAUAUUAACAUACAAGGGUUCUGAGGUCACCCAUGCAUACCUACGGAAAUUAUCUCUCACCUUCCUCUAACACUGGCUGUUAGGGCCAACACAAAUUACUUUCCUUCAGUUGAAGUUUCAAGGAUGAUAAAACUGCAUGAUAGACAGGUAAGUAGAUAGAUAGAUAGAUAGAUAGAUAGAUAGAUAGAUAGAUAGAUAGAUAGAUAAAAUGGAUAGACAGACAGAUGGAAGGAUAGAUGAUAGGUAGAUAGUCAGAUAGAUAAAUAGAUAGAGGCAUAGAUGAUGCAUAGGUAGAUAAGCAAAUAGGUUAAUAGAUGAUAGAAAGAUAAACAGAUAGCUAGGUAAAAGCAUAGAUGGAUGGACAGAUGGUUGGAUAGAUAGACAAGCAAAUAGGUUAAUAGACAGAUAGAUGAUAGGUAGAUUAGAUGGGCAAUGACGUCAACUAGCUCACCCCUACUUGAGAAAAUCGAAUGGUUAAAGGCUCCUAGAGAGUGAAAAUCACCAUAAGACUUUUGCCAUCAAUAGAACCUCUUUCUCUAGGGGUAGGACUGUGGUGACUUUUAGCUUCCUCUACAAUUCUUUCACCAAAGCUAAAACCCGGGACCUGAAUAGGGUCCUGAGGUUCCUUCCCACAAUUUCAACCUCUACCAAAGAGCACCCAAGUAAUUCAGACUUUUUUAAACCUGUAGGUAUCCAUGUGUACAUGGGAACCCGAAUAUCUAUGGCCGUUUCUUGAAACAGAAGUCAUUUGGGGAAUCUCUAGGGCUGUGAAUUAAUGCUAGGAAAUGGGCAGAAUUAAUAAAGUGGAUUCCUGGCAUUGAUCACAUGUGUGUGUGUGUUUGUAUGCGUGUGGUGUGUGUGGGUGGGUGGGUGGGUGGGUGUAUUCCUACACGCGGACAGAAAUGCACGCACGCACACACUUCCUGCACUUAGUCUUCCUUUUUGUAUUCGAUUCUCCAGUGUGGCUUCGGGGUGUCCCCAUCCAGGGACCUCCUGGACACUUGUGGAGCACUUGGUCAUUGAACAGCUGCGUCCCUACGACAUGGAGGCAGAGAAGACACCUAGAGCUCCUGGGAAAAUGGUCUCGUUCACUUUAAACACCGCUUCUCGUCUGCAUUCUCUCCCCCCCAAUACAGUUGCCGGCUGUGAUCUGCUGCCUUUCAACUUGGAAUAAAAUCCAUUACUUAUGCAGCGAAUGUUUUUAAUGUAACAAAGCAAAGGAAUAAAAAUGCCUUACAACAGUUUUAUUAAAAACAAAUUCCCACAGUAAAUACAUAUACACUCCGUUUCUGGGAGCAAAAUAGCUCAGGACAUCACUGCUAAGUGCUCUGGGAAGUGCUUAUAAAUUACUUGAAAUAAAAAACAUUGUUGCCUGGACAUCAGGGAUGAAAUGCUGCAGUUUGUAAUAAAUUAACACAGAACUUUACUUCCCCUCCUCGAACAAAGCAGCCAUUUGUCUGAAUAACCCACAUUCAGCUGUGAGUUAUAUUUUCACAACUCCAACUGCAUUCAUUUGCAAAUUAUUCUGCAGUUUUAAUGCUCAAGUUUUAAAUACCUUAAGAACGAAUAAAUAAAGCAAAGUAGAGCAAACAGUUGGCUUGUAGUUUAAAAACUGCCCUAAUUUCUGCUUUUUCUUUUGGCGGUUUUCCUUUCAAAGUUGUUUUUUUUUUGUAUUUUUUUUUUCUUUUUCGCAUAUAAAGUUUCACUAAACUGCAUUUAAAAAUUUUAAAAACUGAAAUGUACUUGGGGGUGUUCACACCACAGAGACGUUUCCAUGAUUCCAUUCUCUGCGAAGGUAUUUGGCCAGGACUCAUUUUACAUUUUUAAGACUUUUCUUCUACCAAUACUUUAAUUUAGUGACAGAAUAAUUUAUAACUAUCUUUGAGGUUUUGCCCAUUGUACGUAACUUUUGUCUGCUAGUCUUGGAAUUGGUUAGAUUUUUUUUUCUCUCUCUCUCCCUCUAACUAGACUUUGUCCAGCCAAAAAAAAAAAAGAAAAAAAAAA
rnacentral:lncRNA from 1 species